UGGGCAACCUGCCUGUAAGACUGGGAUAACUUCUUGGAAACCGAAGCUAAUACCGGAUAGGAUCUUCUCCUUCAUGGGAGAUGAUUGAAAGAUGGUUUCGGCUAUCACUUACAGAUGGGCCCGCGGUGCAUUAGCUAGUUGGUGAGGUAACGGCUCACCAAGGCAACGAUGCAUAGCCGACCUGAGAGGGUGAUCGGCCACACUGGGACUGAGACACGGCCCAGACUCCUACGGGAGGCAGCAGUAGGGAAUCUUCCGCAAUGGACGAAAGUCUGACGGAGCAACGCCGCGUGAGUGAUGAAGGCUUUCGGGUCGUAAAACUCUGUUGUUAGGGAAGAACAAGUACGAGAGUAACUGCUCGUACCUUGACGGUACCUAACCAGAAAGCCACGGCUAACUACGUGCCAGCAGCCGCGGUAAUACGUAGGUGGCAAGCGUUAUCCGGAAUUAUUGGGCGUAAAGCGCGCGCAGGCGGUUUCUUAAGUCUGAUGUGAAAGCCCACGGCUCAACCGUGGAGGGUCAUUGGAAACUGGGGAACUUGAGUGCAGAAGAGAAAAGCGGAAUUCCACGUGUAGCGGUGAAAUGCGUAGAGAUGUGGAGGAACACCAGUGGCGAAGGCGGCUUUUUGGUCUGUAACUGACGCUGAGGCGCGAAAGCGUGGGGAGCAAACAGGAUUAGAUACCCUGGUAGUCCACGCCGUAAACGAUGAGUGCUAAGUGUUAGAGGGUUUCCGCCCUUUAGUGCUGCAGCUAACGCAUUAAGCACUCCGCCUGGGGAGUACGGUCGCAAGACUGAAACUCAAAGGAAUUGACGGGGGCCCGCACAAGCGGUGGAGCAUGUUGUUUAAUUCGAAGCACGGCGAAGAACCUUACCAGGUCUUGACAUCCUCUGACAACUCUAGAGAUAGAGCGUUCCCUUCGGGGGACAGAGUGACAGGUGGUGCAUGGUUGUUCUUCAGCUCCUGUCCUUAGAAUGUUGAGUUAAGUCCCGCCACGAGCGCAACCCUGGAUCUUUAUUUGCCAGCAUUUAUUUUGGCACUCUAAGGUGACCGCCGGUGACAAACCGGAGAAAGGUGGAAAUAGAGCUCAAAUCAUCCUGCCCCCUUAUUGAACCCGGGCUACCCAACGUG
rnacentral:rRNA from 1 species